rnacentral:rRNA from 1 species
AACGAACGCUGGCGGCAUGCCUAACACAUGCAAGUCGAACGAGACCUUCGGGACUAGUGGCGCACGGGUGCGUAACGCGUGGGAACCUGCCCUUAGGUUCGGCAUAACUCCCCGACAGGGGUGCUAAUACCGGAUAAUGUCUUCGGACCAAAGAUUUAUCGCCUUUGGAUGGGCCCGCGUUGGAUUAGCUAGUUGGUAGGGUAAAAGCCUACCAAGGCGACGAUCCAUAGCUGGUCUGAGAGGAUGAUCAGCCACACUGGGACUAGGACACGGCCCAGACUCCUACGGGAGGCAGCAGUGGGGAAUAUUGGACAAUGGGCGAAAGCCUGAACCAGCAAGGCCGCGUGAGUGAUGAAGGCCUUAGGGUUGUAAAGCUCUUUUACCCGGGAUGAUAAUGACAGUACCGGGAGAAUAAGCUCCGGCUAACUCCGUG